rnacentral:pre_miRNA from 1 species
ACAACAACAUUCGGGCCGUCGAUCUACCGAACAAUAUCAACCGCUCGGUGGAAGAUCUUCCUUUUGUUGUUAAAC